AACUCUGAGCGGUGGAUCACUCGGCUCGUGCGUCGAUGAAGAGCGCAGCCAACUGCGUGAAUUAGUGUGAAUUGCAGGAUAUCUUGAACAUCGACAUCUUGAACGCAUAUUGCGGCCUCAGGUCUCCCCUGUGGCCACGCCUGGCGAGGGUCG
rnacentral:rRNA from 1 species